rnacentral:rRNA from 1 species
ACCUCUGAUCAGGUAG